GACGAACGCUGGCGGCGUGCUUAACACAUGCAAGUCGAGCGGUAAGGCCCUUUCGGGGGUACACGAGCGGCGAACGGGUGAGUAACACGUGGGUGACCUGCCCUCAGCUCUGGGAUAAGCCUGGGAAACCGGGUCUAAUACUGGAUAUGACUCCAUGACGCAUGUUGUGGGGUGGAAAGCCUUGUGCGGCUGAGGAUGGGCCCGCGGCCUAUCAGCUUGUUGGUGGGGNGAUGGCCUACCAAGGCGACGACGGGUAGCCGGCCUGAGAGGGCGACCGGCCACACUGGGACUGAGACACGGCCCAGACUCCUACGGGAGGCAGCAGUGGGGAAUCUUGCGCAAUGGCGAAAGCCUGACGCAGCGACGCCGCGUGAGGGAUGACGGCCUGGUGUAACU
rnacentral:rRNA from 1 species